UUGAAAACUACGACUGUUGUCUGAUAUUGUUUACUUCAACGCAGGAGAGGAUGGACGGUUAAGGAUGUUUUUGGAUGGAUUGGUGGAUGUUGUGGAUAUACAAGCGUAUGUUAUGACUUAUCCAUUUGGCCAACCACAUAUCCAAGAGCAAGAUGAAUAUUGGGGGUGGUAUAAGAAUGCUAUUGAUAAGGUUACUGCAACCUGUAGGCCAUCUACCUCCACGCGGCAUGGUAAGCUAUGACUUUUCAAUCAGUCCAACUCAUGUUCACACAAUUUUAGUUAUCUUUUGAAAAAUUCUAGUUACCACAGAACCAUGAGGGUGGGUAUUGCCUUUGAAUGAAUUCUAGGUAACCAUGGAACCACGUGGUGGGUAAAGCACCGGAAUUUGGUGUAAGGUUUAAGUGUUUAUGUGCUGUUGAGGAAAAUUAUUUGCUGAAGCUCUUGCUUGCUCUCUACUGUGGGAAACCUCGGUGAAGCCCAAAUCACAGUGAGCAGCUACAAAACAAAAGCUACGGAAAGUUGCUUUUGACCACGGUGAUUUUAGCUCAUUGUGGUUUUCCACUGUCCACACUUGCACUAAAGGGUAAUAGAAGAUGCACCAUUGCUAACUGCUUCCACAUUUAAAAUGAAUAUGAAAAUACUUCAUAUUCAUUUUUUUUAUUUAUCAAAAAAAAAAAUGAAUAUGAAAAUACUAGGUUAAGAUUGGGUUUUGUGUUGUAAUUUUACAGCAGUUAAUGAAAGGCUUAGCCACUUAGAUGCACUUGAAAGACUACAUGCGUGUCUAAUUUUCUGAUAGCAAUUGGCUAGUCCCUAGUUUUAAUCCAUUGCUAUUUUUUCAGAUAAAAGUUGAUUGUACCCUGAUAUUCACUCUUCAAUCAUUGAACUUGUAGUUGAUAGGCUAGCUCUAAUGGAAUUUGUAUCCUCAGAACUUUGGUUCUUGUGCAGAAAACACUUAUCAAGGACUUUUAUUGAUAUUUUCUUUCUUACAACUUAGCCUUGAAAAGUGAAUUUGUAUCCUCAGAACUUUGGUUCUUGUGCAGAAAACACUUAUCAAAGAGUUUUAUUGAUUUUUUUCUUUCUUACAACUUAGCCUUGAAAAGUGAUUUUUUUGUUGUUUUCAUGGUCCAUGUAAAAUUUACAAUACUAGGUUGGGAUGAAAGAUGUCAAACAACCACUUUAUCCCAAAAGCUUAAGCUGUUGGGUAAGGGCCACAUCAAUGAUUUUAUAUUAUAUUCUAACACGCCCCCUCGCGUAAGAGCUCUUUGGGCUUGAAGCGUGGAUAAAUGCACAGGCCCACCUAUAGAUUAGCAAUUAAAACCAUACUACACUAAAUGGGUCAUUUCAAAUAUACUAAUCACAUAGUUUCAAACUAUAUAAAUAUACUAAUUGCAAAUAGAGGAACCUGAAGUUGUGCCACCAGAGGAACCUGGAGUUAUGCAAUCAGAGGAACCUGAAGUUGUGCAACAAGAGAAAGCUGUAGCUGUGCAACUAGAGGAACCUAAAGUUGUGGAACCAAAGGAAGCUAGUUGUGGCCAAAAUCACUCUAUUGGGGAUGGUAUAUUUGAGAUCGAGGAAGAAAGUGAAGGGAGAGGGGCCAAACUGGCUUGAGCUUCCAAGAGACAUCAUAGCAAGCAUAUUCCAAAUGCUCGAUGUUGUUGAAGUUGUGAUGAGUGCAUCUCAUGUGUGCACUUUGUGGAGGAACAUUUGCAAAGAUCCUCUCAUGUGGCGUACCAUUGACAUGACUAAUCUCUGCACUCGCAAUUUUAGACGCUACGAUUUGGAGAAGGUUUGUCGUUGUGUUGUUCAACGAAGUAGCGGUCAUCUAGAAGACAUUCGAAUUGAGUGUUUUGCCACCGAUAAUCUCCUCACAUACAUUGGUGAAAGGUAGAAUUUUAUUUUCUAUAUAUAUUUGCUUGUUAUGAGCAUUUCUAAAUUUAGUUGCCAUGAAUUACUAGUUUAUAUAUGAUUGUCUUAUCAGUUUUUCUUUAAAUUUUAAAGCACAAGCCAUGUAAAGAACUUCACAGUAGCAUAUACUAGCAUCCUCAUUAAUCAUUAGCACAAUAGUAAAGUGAAUCAUAUUUUCCUAUUAAAAAAAUUACAUAUAUAGUUCACUAAUAGAUUAUAUUUAAAUUAAAUGAACCCCAAGCCCAAAACCCAAAUUGAUAUACCCAUUUUAUUUCAUCAGCAUAUACAAAAUAGACAACCAUGGAUCUUCACAGUAGCAACAUUAGCAUCCUCAUUAAUCAUUAGCACAAUAGUAAAGUGAUGUUAAAACUGCCAAAUACAUGUUAUCAAUGAAAAUAGAAACUUUGUGAUUCA